GACGAACGCUGGCGGCGUGCCUAAUACAUGCAAGUCGAACGCUUCUUUCCUCCCGAGUGCUUGCACUCAAUUGGAAAGAGGAGUGGCGGACGGGUGAGUAACACGUGGGUAACCUACCCAUCAGAGGGGGAUAACACUUGGAACCAGGUGCUAAUACCGCAUAACAGUUUAUGCCGCAUGGCAUAAGAGUGAAAGGCGCUUUCGGGUGUCGCUGAUGGAUGGAUCCGCGGUGCAUUAGCUAGUUGGUGAGGUAACGGCUCACCAAGGCCACGAUGCAUAGCCGACCUGAGAGGGUGAUCGGCCACACUGGGACUGAGACACGGCCCAGACUCCUACGGGAGGCAGCAGUAGGGAAUCUUCGGCAAUGGACGAAAGUCUGACCGAGCAACGCCGCGUGAGUGAAGAAGGUUUUCGGAUCGUAAAACUCUGUUGUUAGAGAAGAACAAGGACGUUAGUAACUGAACGUCCCCUGACGGUAUCUAACCAGAAAGCCACGGCUAACUACGUG
rnacentral:rRNA from 1 species